rnacentral:rRNA from 1 species
UACAGAGGGUGCAAGCGUUGUUCGGAAUUAUUGGGCGUAAAGCGCUUGUAGGCGGCACGUCAAGUCGCGUGUGAAAUCCCCAGGCUUAACCUGGGAAGUGCGCGCGAAACUGACGAGCUUGAGUGCCGGAGAGGGUCGCGGAAUUCCCGGUGUAGAGGUGAAAUUCGUAGAUAUCGGGGAAGAACACAGUGGCGAAGGCGGCGACCUGGACGGACACUGACGCUGAGACGCGAAAGCGUGGGGAGCAAACAGG